rnacentral:rRNA from 1 species
ACUUAAAUUUUAAGCUUCUACACCUAAAAAUAAUUUUAAUCCAACAUCGAGGUCGCAAACUUUUUUAUUAAUAUGAACUUUAAAAAAAAAUUACGCUGUUAUCCCUAAGGUAAUUUAAAUUUUUAAUCAAUAAAAUUAGAUCAAUCAUUCAUUAAUUUAUGUUUUAAAAUAAUAAAAGGUUUUUAAAUUUUAUUGUCACCCCAACAAAAUAUUAUUAAUUAUAAAAAUUUAAUUUAUCUUAAAAAUUUAUUUAAUUUAAUAAUAUAAAACUCUAUAGGGUCUUCUCGUCUUUUAAUAAUAUUUAAGCAUUUUUACUUAAAAUUUAAAUUUUAUUAUAAUUUUUAUGAUACAGUUUUUAUUUCGUUCAACCUUUCAUACAAGUUUUCAAUUAAAAAACUAAUGAU